GCCGAUGGCCACGGACUUGUGGACCGCGCUUGCGCGGGCCACAAAGUCCCUUUCGAAUCGGGCAGGGUGGGCGAAAGUCCCCUUUGUCCGAGGAAUUGAGGAAGCGCGAGAGCGCGGCUUCGAUCCACGAAGGGCGGGCGCUAGCGCGUCCGGGUGGAUCAGGUAAGGGUGAAACGGUGCGGUAAGAGCGCACCGCGUCCGCUGUGAAGCGGACGGCGAGGCAACCUCCACCUGGAGCAACACCAAAUAGGCAAGCGAUGACGUGACCCACCGAGCUUGCGGGUAGGUGGCUUGAGCCUUGGAGCAAUCCGGGGCCUAGAGGAAUGGCUGUCAGGGACCGCGAGGUCCUUACAGAACCCGGCUUAUCGGCCGGCUUCCAUC
rnacentral:RNase_P_RNA from 1 species